AUGAACGCUGGCGGCGUGCCUAAUACAUGCACGUCGAGCGAACGGACGAGAAGCUUGCGUCUCUGAUGUUAGCGGCGGACGGGUGAGUAACACGUGGAUAACCUACCUAUAAGACUGGGAUAACUUCGGGAAACCGGAGCUAAUACCGGAUAAUAUUUUGAACCGCAUGGUUCAAAAGUGAAAGACGGUCUUGCUGUCACUUAUAGAUGGAUCCGCGCUGCAUUAGCUAGUUGGUAAGGUAACGGCUUACCAAGGCAACGAUGCAUAGCCGACCUGAGAGGGGGAUCGGCCACACUGGAACUGAGACACGGUCCAGACUCCUACGGGAGGCAGCAGUAGGGAAUCUUCCGCAAUGGGCGAAAGCCUGACGGAGCAACGCCGCGUGAGUGAUGAAGGUCUUCGGAUCGUAAAACUCUGUUAUUAGGGAAGAACAUAUGUGUAAGUAACUGUGCACAUCUUGACGGUACCUAAUCAGAAAGCCACGGCUAACUACGUG
rnacentral:rRNA from 1 species